rnacentral:rRNA from 1 species
AAAGUGAAUUGUACUAGAAGUCUGCAGGCUAACCGGCUUUUGAAAGAGAGCUGGGGGCAGCGGCCAAGGUAUGAUCCAUGAUUGGGGUG